UUCCGGUUGAUCCUGCCGGAGGCUACUGCUAUUGGGAUUCGACUAAGCCAUGCGAGUCAAGGUGUCUUCGGACGCCGGCAUACGGCUCAGUAACACGUAGGUAACCUACCCUCAGGACUGAGAUAACCCCGGGAAACUGGGGCUAAUAUUAGAUAGAUAAAAGAUACUGGAAUGUUCUUUUAUCCAAAGCUUUUGCGCCUGAGGAUGGGCCUGCGCCCGAUUAGGUUGUUGGUGGGGUAAUGGCCCACCAAGCCUACGAUCGGUACGGGCAGUGGGAGCUGAAGCCCGGAGUUGGGGACUGAGACAAGGCCCCAGGCCCUACGGGGCGCAGCAGGCGCGAAACCUCUGCAAUGCGGGAAACCGUGACAGGGGGAUCCCAAGUGCUCAUGCAUUGCAUGGGCUGUUCUUUGGUCUAAGUAACCAGAGGAGUAAGGGCUGGGCAAG
rnacentral:rRNA from 1 species